CCCCGGUCAGCGCCUCCAAGGCAACACGGUCCCGGGUCCCGCCCUGGCCGCGGUCCCGGGCCAGAAGAGUCACGCUCCUACCCUCCUCUUCCUCCCAGAGGCUCCGCCUGAGGUGCUGGUGUCCUGGAGGCAUGGACAGCAGUGCUUCAGCCUUUUCGCUUCCCCGAGGAGAAACUGACUCAUCAGUGAUGAGUCAGACCAGAAGGAUAAGAAGAAAUCAGGCCUUCGGAACCCCAGGAAACAAAUGUCUGCUGCAAAGACAUCUACAAGUUGCCAACCUGCUGUUUGAGAAGGCGCCUCUCCUGAGCUCUGUCGGACUUGUGUUCCAGAUGCUAAAUAAACAUCACAGGAAGGGACCAGGGUGCAACUCAGUGGCAGAGUGCUUGUCUUUAGGCUUGGUUUUCUAGCUCUGGAAACAAAAAAUCUAGGAGGCCAGGCUUUAGAUAAGGCUCCUGCACUGAUUCCUGAAAGACCAGACCAGAAUAAAAAUUAAAAUAGAAUCAAACAAGCUCAAAUUCCUGGUUGCUUACCUGAAAUGAGGUGGUCUGGCCUAAGAGUUCAGAGUUAGAGAUUCCUUCUGCCUUAAUCCUUUCACUAUGGAAGUGACUCACAUGACCCAAUGAGAACUAAUCAGCUAACUUCCUACUGUUCUGUG